rnacentral:rRNA from 1 species
AGUGAACGCUGGCGGUAGGCCUAACACAUGCAAGUCGAACGGCAGCACAGUAAGAGCUUGCUCUUACGGGUGGCGAGUGGCGGACGGGUGAGGAAUACAUCGGAAUCUACUUUUUCGUGGGGGAUAACGUAGGGAAACUUACGCUAAUACCGCAUACGACCUACGGGUGAAAGCAGGGGAUCUUCGGACCUUGCGCGAUUGAAUGAGCCGAUGUCGGAUUAGCUAGUUGGCGGGGUAAAGGCCCACCAAGGCGACGAUCCGGAGCUGGUAUGAGAGGAUGAUCAGCCACACUGGAACUGAGACACGGUCCAGACUCCUACGGGAGGCAGCAGUGGGGAAUAUUGGACAAUGGGCGCAAGCCUGAUCCAGCCAUACCGCGUGGGUGAAGAAGGCCUUCGGGUUGUAAAGCCCUUUUGUUGGGAAAGAAAAGCAGCAGGUUAAUACCCCGCUGUUCUGACGGUACCCAAAGAAUAAGCACCGGCUAACUUCGUG